rnacentral:rRNA from 1 species
AGAGUUUGAUCAUGGCUCAGGAUGAACGCUAGCUACAGGCUUAACACAUGCAAGUCGAGGGGCAGCAUCAUCAAAGCUUGCUUUGAUGGAUGGCGACCGGCGCACGGGUGAGUAACACGUAUCCAACCUGCCGACAACUCUGGGAUAGCCUUUCGAAAGAAAGAUUAAUACCGGAUGGUAUAAUUAUUCCGCAUGGGAUUAUUAUUAAAGAAUUUCGGUUGUCGAUGGGGAUGCGUUCCAUUAGGCAGUUGGCGGGGUAACGGCCCACCAAACCAACGAUGGAUAGGGGUUCUGAGAGGAAGGUCCCCCACAUUGGAACUGAGACACGGUCCAAACUCCUACGGGAGGCAGCAGUGAGGAAUAUUGGUCAAUGGACGAGAGUCUGAACCAGCCAAGUAGCGUGAAGGAUGACUGCCCUAUGGGUUGUAAACUUCUUUUAUACGGGAAUAAAGUGAGCCACGUGUGGCUUUUUGUAUGUACCGUAUGAAUAAGGAUCGGCUAACUCCGUGCCAGCAGCCGCGGUAAUAC